UACGAAGGGGGCUAGCGUUGUUCGGAAUUACUGGGCGUAAAGCGUGCGCAGGCGGCUGCUCAAGUCCGGGGUGAAAGCCCAGAGCUCAACUCUGGAAUUGCCUUUGAGACUGAGUGGCUUGAGUACGGGAGAGGUGAGUGGAAUUCCCAGUGUAGAGGUGAAAUUCGUAGAUAUUGGGAAGAACACCGGUGGCGAAGGCGGCUCACUGGCCCGUAACUGACGCUCAUGCACGACAGCGUGGGGAUCAAACAGG
rnacentral:rRNA from 1 species